rnacentral:rRNA from 1 species
GAUGAACGCUGGCGGCGUGCCUAAUACAUGCAAGUCGAGCGAACGGACGAUAAGCGUGCUUCUCUGAUGUUAGCGGCGGGCGGGUGGGUAACACGUGGAUAACCUACCUAUAAUACUGGGAGAACUUCGUGAAACCGGAGCUAAUACCAGAUAAUAUGAUCAACCGGAGGAUUCAAAAGUGAAUGACAGUCUGGCUGUCACUUUGAGACGGAGCCGGGUUGCAUUAGCUAGGUGGUAAGGUAACGGCUCACCAAGGCAACGAUGCAUAGCCGACCUGAGAGGAUGAUCAGCCACACUGGAACUGAGACACGGUCCAGACUCCUACGGGAGGCAGCAGUAGGGAAUAUUGGGCAAUGGGCGAAAGCCUGACGCAGCAACGCCGCGUGGGUGAAGAAGGUCUUCGGAUCGUAAAACUCUGUUAUUAGGGAAGAACAUCUGUGUAAGUAAAUGUGGACAUCUUGACGGUACCUAAUGAGAAAGCAACGGCUAACUACGUG